rnacentral:rRNA from 1 species
UACGUAGGGUGCGAGCGUUGUCCGGAAUUACUGGGCGUAAAGCGCUCGUAGGUGGUUUGUCGCGUUGUCCGUGAAAACUCACAGCUUAACUGUGGGCGUGCGGGCGAUACGGGCAGACCGGAGUACUGCAGGGGAGACUGGAAUUCCUGGUGUAGCGGUGGAAUGCGCAGAUAUCAGGAGGAACACCGGUGGCGAAGGCGGUUCUCUGGGCCGGUACUGACGCUGAGGAACGAAAGCGUGGGGAGCGAACAGG